rnacentral:rRNA from 1 species
CUCGUAGGUGGCCAACUAAGUCAGACGUGAAAUCCCUCGGCUUAACCGGGGAACUGCGUCUGAUACUGGAUGGCUUGAGUUUGGGAGAGGGACGCGGAAUUCCAGGUGUAGCGGUGAAAUGCGUAGAUAUCUGGAGGAACACCGGUGGCGAAGGCGGCGUCCUGGACCAACACUGACACUGAGGAGCGAAAGCCAGGGGAGCAAACGG